AUUUAUUUUCACUUAUUUGUAGAAAUAAUCAUAGAUUGGGAAUAUUGACAUUAAAUGUCGUUUCUUUAUUCUAGAGCAACACAGCUGUCCUUAUUCCUAUAAAUAUCAUUACA
rnacentral:lncRNA from 1 species